rnacentral:ncRNA from 1 species
CUUUGGAGAGAGAGUUAAAAAGUACGUGAAACCGUCGAGAGGCAAACGGGAGGGCCUGUCGGGUCGUUCGGUCGCUUUCAGGCGGGCCGGAGACCGGGUCGCGGGAUCGGGGACCUUCGCGGGCCUCGACUCGCGUCGCCGGCCGACGGCUCGGCGCACUAGCGUCGGACGAGGGCCGCGACCGGCUGGGCGGCGGGCAAACGGCUCCGGGCAAGGUAACCCCGCUUCGGCGGGGUGCUACAGGCCCGGUGCGCGCAAGGGUCGCCGCCCGGUCGAGGAGAGAUGCGCGCCGCACCUGCCCCGUUCGCGGGGCCGGGGAAGCCGUUCGAGCAGCGUCGUGUCGCGGUCCGGGACUGUCCUCAGUCCCGGGUCGUCUCGGCGCGGUUCCGAGCGGUCGCUCCCUCGCGAGGUGCCGCGGGUCAGCGGCUGACGCCAGCCACCUUCCCGACCCGUCUUGAAACACGGACCAAGGAGUCUAACAUGUGCGCGAGCCGCGGGGCAGUACGAAACCCGUAAGGCGAAAUGAAGGUGAACGCCGGCGCGGUCCGGCGGAGGUUGGAUCCCGUCCCGUCGGGGCGGGCGCACUACCGGCCGAUCUUCUCCGCCCUGUCGGCGAGGUCGAGCGAGAGCGUGCAAGUCGGGACCCGAAAGAUGGUGAACUAUGCCAUGAGGAGGUUGAAGCCAGAGGAAACUCUGGUGGAGGACCGUAGCGAUUCUGACGUGCAAAUCGAUCGUCAAAUUUGGGUAUAGGGGCGAAAGACUAAUCGAACCGUCUAGUAGCUGGUUCCCUUCGAAGUUUCCCUCAGGAUAGCUGGCGCUCUGU